rnacentral:hammerhead_ribozyme from 1 species
GCAUUGCUGAGGAGUCCCAUAAUAGGACGAAACGGCCGUUCAAUGC